rnacentral:lncRNA from 1 species
GUGUGGAUGCCCUAAGUUAGUUUCAUGCAGCUACAACUCACAGUGCUACAGAAGCAGUCCUGAAGUAUCACUAGCCAGAAGUGUGUUGCCCAGAUGGUGUAUUUGACACAGUGCAGGGCAGGAACCGUACAAAGAAAUAGCCAAAUGGACGGCCAGGAUUAGUCAAGUUUUAAUUGAAAACCUACAUUAAAAAAAAAAAAAAAAAAAAAAAAAAAACACUGAAAUUUUGCCAGAUUUCCUUGUACAUCAAAACCACAAUAAUAGACCAAGUUUCCCUCGGCUGGCUAAAUGAGCAUCAAAGCUGUCAUUACUACUCAGCUUCGUGUCUGCCCGGCUAAGGGCUAUAUAAGUAGCCGAAUCACAUAGCAGACAACAGACAGCAGAAAAUGCAUGGUUUCAUGCUUUGUUGUAUUUUAAAAUCCCCAUCAACGUUCUAGGAACCCCAAGCUUUCUUCUGUCCUCUUCCUCAUAAAGAAAACCAUUUCCUGCAGACCAUCUCCACUUUACACUGUUACUCAACUUUAUUCACUAAAUAACUUUUAGAAUAAUUAAAAAUGAUGGCCCAGGACUUGAAAAAAUCUACAUAAAAUUAUUUGACCCUAUGUCAGAUUUUCUAUAAUAGAUUAAUUUCUAAGAUAGGAAUGUUUACAUAGAAUACAAAGAAGCCAGUGAAAUUUCCAGUAUUGACUCAAAGACCUAUCUUUAAACCGUUCAUAAUAAACUACAUUGUGCGUGUGUUUGUUCUCCUUGCUCUCUGUCCCUGCUAGUACUGUGUGUGUUUCAAGCUUUGAGUUAGGCAGCAUGCUGUCAAACUCCUCGUUAAUCCUACUGUGGUGUUUGACACAAGGGAGGCUCACAGAUAUUUGGGGGAAAUAGACUGGGGUUCUUCUACCAAAUGAACAGCCCACUCAUUCUCUGCAAACCCCCUUAACAUGGUAUAUGCAUAGUUGGUGGGUUCUGUGAAAUAACUCACCUUUUAAGUGAACUCUAGCUCCACUCAGAUGCCUUGUUAUUUGUUAAGCACUUACUGUGUACUCACUGUGCUUCCUUUGGCCUUGGCUACUUCUUUGAAGGCAUUCCACUUAUUUUCUUAGGCAGGCGCCUUUAUCUCCUGCCUUCCAGUAGCCAGAGAUGGAGGUGUUUUGAAUGAGCACAUCAGCGUUCUAGUCCGAGAUACUGUUUGAAAUUAUCCAUGAGCGCAGGGCCGCUGAGCGUUACUGAGUGACAUUUGUUUCUCUUGGUUGUAUCUGCCCUGACUAGCUGGUUUCUUUCAGAUUGGCAGCUGGGAUUAUGCCGUAGUAGAUGGACAGCCACAAGAACUGGAGCCUAGCACGUCUGGGCUGGCCUCAGCUGAGUGAGGCUGGAAUGUAUGGGCUCAGUUCUGAGGCAUUAGUAGGAUAAUCUGCAGCUUUCCAGAAAUGACAGCUUCUUCAUGCUCUUGUGUCUCCGUUAGCACCAUUUGAGCAGAACUGUUAGUAACAACACUUCUUUCUCUCCUUAAAUGUGCCUCUGUCCAGUCUUCUCAUCAUGCCCUUAUUUUUAAGAGUUUCACUUUCUUUAGCAUGAUACUGUUUUGAACUUCAUAGCAUUAUGACAUGUGUAUAUACACCUCCAGCUAUCUGAUACAUUUUUAGUGUUGUUUGUAGGAAAACAUUGUUUAAGUUUAAAAGUGUCAUGCUUCUUAGCUAUUAAUAUUUACUUGAUCUUAAACAACACUAAAAUUUGAGAAGAACAUCCUCCUGGUGAUCAAACAGAAAUAAGUUAGGAAGUAAAUUGUAUAUAUCAAAAUGAACCUUGUUUGCAAGGUCUGUGUGUUCAAGAAUUUUUGACUGCCAUAUCAACUGAAAUUCUUAGACUGUAAAACUAUAUUUCUGAAUGUUAUGUUAGUGGAUAAAAUAAACUUCAUAAAAUAUCUCAAACCGUGGCAGACCUUUCUUUAGAUUUCUUAAACUUACUUUAGAUGUCCUUGUUGUUUACUUCACAAAUCAUCUAUCCUUAUAUACCAAAUCAAAUAUAAUAAUGAAGAAAGUAUGUUUUCUCUUACAAAUCUUUUUAUCCUAUCUCCUGAAGGAAGAGCUGCUGCUAGUUAGUAUAUAUGUUCCAAAUUGAACAUUAAGAUGUUCCUUAUAUAUUUGUGUCCUCACAUAUAACACAUGUGUGUUAUCUGUGUAUAAGUACAUAUUUUUUAUUUAUAUAAGGUCAUACAUACUUUAGGUAUAAGUGGCUAGAUUCUCACCCCACACCUCUUUGGUAUUGUUGAGACAGGGUUUCUCUAUGUGACAGUCCUGGCUGUCCUGGAACUUACUCUGCAGACCAAGCUGCCCUCAGACUCACAAAGAUCCACCUGCCUCUACCUCCCAAGUGUUGGGAUUAAAGACGUACACCACUGCUCCCAGAAACUCACUUACUUUAAUGACUAAAUAGUGGUCUGUUAUCAUCAUUAAUUUAGGUUAUUUUUUAAAUUUUAACGGCUCUAAGAGUUCUAUAGCAAACACUUUUAUACUUAAUUUUUUUUCUACCAUGUGACCUUUAUAUGACUAUUCAUAAAAGUAGAAUCAAUAACCCUAUUUAUAAACAUAAAAAUCCAACUCCUAAAUUUUUACAUAUUUUUCUUUAUGUCUAAUUUUGCAAAGUUAAAAAAGCUGUCUUUUUAAAAUAAAGUAGAAUUACUCAUACUUAAUUUUACUUAUUUGUUUUAUUGUCUCUCUCUUUUAUGUGUAUUACUUGCAUAUUAAUUAGUCUAUGUUCUAUUGUAGCCUCAUGUAAAAUAAAAAUUACAUUUCCCCCCAGCCCCUGAAAGGUUGUUUUGGUUUUUACAAUUAUACUGUCUGGUGUUUGAAUUCUGUUUUUUAUUAGCAGUGUAUUUCUGAGGCACUUAGAAUUUACAUUUGAGUUAGGCUUUAACUGUUUUAAAAUGUAUUCUUUUGUUGCUGGGCUCUGGAGCUCAAACUUAGGUCCUCACACACUGGACAUUCCAUUGAGCUACAUCCCAGCCUUGCAUUUUGUAAUUUAGUGAACUUUUGCACUGACCACUAAAAAGUAACUGUGUUUCUUUCCUUUGAUUAACGGAGGCAGUCUAAUUUGUAAAUGCUUUCAACUGACACUCUGCUGUUUGUUUGUUUCUUAACCACUAGAAGAAAUAUUAUCCAAAUAAGGGUAUGAAUGAAGACAAUUUCUUCCUUGAGGAUUUUCAUAUCAUUUUCAUAGCAUUUUAUAUGGACCUGGUUUUGGCCUUUGUAGUUGAUGCUAUUGAGAUUUUUGUCCUUUAAGAAUGAAAUGCAUUAAAUCAGGAUCAGGUUAAUGAUCUAAACAGUCUUAUAUCCCCUAAAGAAAUAGAAGCAGUCAUUAAUAGUCUCUUAACC